rnacentral:rRNA from 1 species
GAGUUUGAACCUGGCUCAGGAUGAACGCUGGCGGCGUGCUUAACACAUGCAAGUCGAACGAAGCAGAAGGAUGCUUGCAUCCUUUUGACUGAGUGGCGGACGGGUGAGUAACACGUAGAGAACCUACCUUACACAGGGGGACAACGGCUGGAAACGGCUGCUAAUACCGCAUAAGCACCCAGUUUCGCAUGAAACAGAGUGAAAAGAGUAAAUCGGUGUAAGAUGGCUCUGCGUCUGAUUAGCUAGUUGGUGGGGUAAAGGCUCACCAAGGCGACGAUCAGUAGCCGGCCUGAGAGGGCGACCGGCCACAUUGGGACUGAGACACGGCCCAGACUCCUACGGGAGGCAGCAGUGGGGAAUCUUGCACAAUGGGGGAAACCCUGAUGCAGCGACGCCGCGUGAGCGAAGAAGUAUUUCGGUAUGUAAAGCUCUAUCAGCAGGGAAUAAAAAAGAAGGUACCUGACGAAGAAGCCCCGGCUAACUACGUGCCAGCAGCCGCGGUAAUACGUAGGGGGCAAGCGUUAUCCGGAUUUACUGGGUGUAAAGGGAGCGUAGACGGUGCGUUAAGUCAGAAGUGAAAGCCCAUUGCUCAACGAUGGAGCUGCUUUUGAAACUAACGAACUAGAGUACAGGAGAGGUAAGUGGAAUUCCUAGCGUAGCGGUGAAAUGCGUAGAGAUUAGGAGGAACACCAGUGGCGAAGGCGGCUUACUGGACUGAAACUGACGUUGAG